GACGUAGGUGGCGAACGUUAUCCGGAAUUAUUGGGCGUAAAGGAUGCGUAGAUGGUGUAGUCAGUUAUCGGUGGCAAAUCGAGGCUCAACCUCGUGGAAGUCGGUAAUACUGCUAUGCUAGAGGAUAGGAGAGGUUAACGGAACUCCCUGUGGAGCGGUGAAAUGCGUAGAGAUCGGGAAGAACACCAGUGGCGAAGGCGGCCGGCUGGGGGCGCCCUGACGCUGAGGCGCGAGAGCGUGGGGAGCGAACCGG
rnacentral:rRNA from 1 species